rnacentral:rRNA from 1 species
UUGACCUCGGAUCAGGUAGGGAUACCCGCUGAACUUAAGCAUAUCAAUAAGCGGAGGAAAAGAAACCAACCGGGAUUGCCUCAGUAACGGCGAGUGAAGCGGCAAGAGCUCAAAUUUGAAAGCUGGCUCCUUCGGGGUCCGCAUUGUAAUUUGCAGAGGAUGCUUCGGGUGCAGCCCCCGUCUAAGUGCCCUGGAACGGGCCGUCAUAGAGGGUGAGAAUCCCGUAUGGGGCGGGGUGUCUGCGUCCGUGUGAAGCUCCUUCGACGAGUCGAGUUGUUUGGGAAUGCAGCUCUAAAUGGGUGGUAAAUUUCAUCUAAAGCUAAAUACUGGCCGGAGACCGAUAGCGCACAAGUAGAGUGAUCGAAAGAUGAAAAGCACUUUGAAAAGAGAGUUAAACAGCACGUGAAAUUGUUGAAAGGGAAGCGCUUGCAACCAGACUCGCUCGCGGGGUUCAGCCGGGCUUCGGCCCGGUGUACUUCCCCGCGGGCGGGCCAGCGUCGGUUUGGGCGGCCGGUCAAAGGCCUCCGGAAUGUAGCGCCCUUCGGGGCGCCUUAUAGCCGGGGGUGCAAUGCGGCCAGCCUGGACCGAGGAACGCGCUUCGGCACGGACGCUGGCAUAAUGGUUGUAAACGACCCGUCUUGAAACACGGACCAAGGAGUCUAACAUCUACGCGAGUGUUCGGGUGUCAAACCCGUACGCGCAGUGAAAGCGAACGGAGGUGGGAGCCCCCUCGCGGGGCGCACCAUCGACCGAUCCUGAUGUCUUCGGAUGGAUUUGAGUACGAGCGUAGCUGUGGGGACCCGAAAGAUGGUGAACUAUGCCUGAAUAGGGCGAAGCCAGAGGAAACUCUGGUGGAGGCUCGCAGCGGUUCUGACGUGCAAAUCGAUCGUCAAAUUUGGGUAUAGGGGCGAAAGACUAAUCGAACCAUCUGGUAGCUGGUUCCUGCCGAAGUUUCCCUCAGGAUAGCAGUAACGCGGAUCAGUUUUAUGAGGUAAAGCGAAUGAUUAGAGGCAUUGGGGUUGAAACAACCUUAACCUAUUCUCAAACUUUAAAUAUGUAAGAAGCGCUUGUUGCUUAGUUGAACGUGCGCAUUAGAA